rnacentral:lncRNA from 1 species
CAUGAACAGCUGGAGGGAUGAGGUGGUUGGCUCACAGACAACAGACUCUGACAGAGCCUCCCAUCCUCCCCAGAUGCACCAAAUUAACUUGGCAUGGUUUUGCAGACGACAAAGUCACGCAUUGCAGAGAGAUGCUUCCCCACUCUCGCCUCUUGUUCCUGAGCUCACAGACCAGGCAGCCCCACCUUCCUGGUUUGUUCAUUCCGUGUUCUUCUAAGAGGAAGGAAACAGCUGUAUUCUUGUCGGAUCUUUACAAGAAGCUCCCUAGGUUCUGAAUCUACACUUCAAAGGGCAAUCACUAACCUAGUUCAGCUGUACUUUAAGAAACAAAUGCUAGGUGCUCAGGUUGUAUUUCUAGCUAUAGGUUUUAUCCUUUCUAGCUAUAUACUUCUAGCUCGGGUUAGACUUCUAGCUGUGUAGAGCAAGGUGGAGCUCACAUGUACAGAGUAUCAUGGAGGACAUCUCUCAUGGAGCCUGCGAUUCUGGACCCACCAAUGAGCCUCAAGAGCAACUUCCUUCAUGCUGUUUGCCACAGUUUCAUCCCCUGGAGCAGGGCAGAGCAAGACCUUCUUGGAGGCCUCUGAGGAAAGUACAUAUUUGCCAAGAAAAGAAUUGUUUGUUUGUCUUGAUCGUCAUAUAGUGAGCUACUUUUAAACUCAGCAGUUUCAAACAAUGAACAGCAUCUCACAGUUCCACAAGCUAGAAACCAGGAGUGACUUCUCUGGUGGCUGUGGCCUGCGGUCUCAGCUAAAUUGUUUACAGGACUGAAGUGAUCUCAAGAGUGCUGGGGAUGAUGUGCCUGCAAACUCAGGCAUGUGGUAGGUAGCUUCGGGGCUUCUUUCCUUCCUGGCUGUGGCUCAGAGACACCAGUUCCUCACAACACAGCCUCUCGCUCCCUGGCUGGUCAUCUUCAGGAUGUGAUGACUAGGUUCUCCCAGGGUGAGUGAGUCAAGAGAAACACAGAGCCCAAGACAGCGGCUACAUGCAGUCUUCUCUGCCCUCAAUUCCAAAGUGACAUCUCAUCAGAAAUCUGCCCUAUGUUGUGUAGCACAGAAGCCUGCAGAAUGUGUCCAGCCUUGAAUUGCUUCAUUUUGUAAAUCCACAGUCAUUUCAAGUAUAGGAACUGAAGGAGAAUGAGUCUGCUUCUUAUUUAUGCACGUAAACAAACCACCAUCUGCCAACAUACCCAGCAAGCACAAACCAAUACAUAAUUCAUCUGUGCUGAUAAAUAAUUACACUUGUAACUAUAUCAAUCAUGUCAGAAACCCCAGAUGUAUGCAUUUAUCUAUCACACCAGGGUCUGGGGAUCUCAUCAUACCCUUUCACAUGGUGCUCAGGAUUUGAACUCAAGUCCUCAUGCUUGCAUCUGGAAUGUUCUUACCCAUUGAGCCACCAUCCUAGCCCCACAGAGUAUGUUAUUUAUAAAGAAGAAAAAUGUUUUUCACAAUUCUGAAGGCUGUAAAUUUCAAGAGAAUGAUGCCAAGAUUUGG